AUUGAUGGUUUCAUGAUGGAAGAAAUACUGCUCAACAGAUGACAAGUUCUGUUUGGCCAAGGAGAAAAGAAGAGACGUAAAAGAGACCAUUAAAGACCGACACAGUCCCGAUGAUGCAUCACCAUAAAAUCAUUUGCAGGUGUACACAAGUCUUGCCACUCCUUCACGCCCAGUUUCUGUAUGCAAGGUCAUCCUCCUGGUGCUACCUUAGAAACUGGCCUUAUUCUAUAGAGGACAUUGAAUGAUAACACUGCGAGUCAGCUGACUGCUGUGUCACAGAGCUGCUGCUUUCUACAUUAUCGCAACUGCCAGAGCUCUUACUGCUGCAGUUUUCUAGUCGCAGUGCGGCAAAGCAGACGCAUAGAACCAGGCAGAAAGCAGCAUAGAUUUUUUUUUAUUCUUAUCUUUUUCAUACGAGGGGAAUAUUCCUGGUGUUAGCGUAGGAACAGACACAGCUUGGAUGUGUUGGCUUCCGCCUGGCAGCAUUUUCAGCUGAGCAGGGAUUGCUCGGAGCUCUGUACCCAAAUUGCCUCUGAGGAAGAACGCCUGAUUUCCCACUUUGCGUACUAAGAGAGUUUUUUUCUUUAUGCUACAGUGAUGUACCUGCAGCAAUAGGACAAAGGAGAUGCACUUGUCACUAUCUGUCCGACUGGGGCCUUUUGCAGGUACUCCACGGCUGAAGCUGUGCCAGCAUCCCAGGGUCAGAUAGAUUGGUAAUACAGAUUGCUGCAAUUUCUUACAUCAGUUAGGGCAAAGCUCAAACAAGAAACCAGACUCUCUGACCUAAAUCAGUCCCAGUCCUUCUGGAUACAGGGCAGCAGUCGACUAGCAAUGACACAACCAGCCAUCAAGUGGAGAGUCUCUGGGAUUGCAAUCUGUAUCAGUUGGAGCCUGAGAGAAUGAAACCCUUUCGGGUAUCCAGUCGCUUCUUCUUCUAAUACUACAAAUACUACAACUGCAGCUACUACUACUGCUACUUCUGUUUUUCUUGCCUGUAAGAAGCUGUUAAUUGCGGUUGGUCUCUGCCUGUACAUUUGCGUGGAUUAGUCUGUCUGUCUGUAAUGCAGUCCUUAUCUGCUCCUGCUGGAAACCGGGGCACGAAGUCAGCCUGCUUUAACAGUUGUUUCUUUCUGCGUGAUGCUAUGCAACUAGAAUGGGUUACACUGACAACAAAGGAACAAGCACAAAGCACCACUAUCGUUGCUGGACUGUUACAGGAACAUAGCUCUUCUUCGAUAUGACACCCUGAUCUCUUCUCUUUGCUGGGUUUUUAUUUUUUUUUUUAAUUUAAUUCAUCUAAUCAAAGAGCCUAACAGACACCAUCAUGAAUGUGGCUUUUAAUGAUUUGGAAAAGACAGCCUGUGGAGACUGCGAUUUGAGACAGCAACACAUUUAGGUUAUUGCCAAUUUUAAAUACUUGGUUUGUGAAGCACAGCCCUAAGGGACGAGCUCAGUAACUGAGGGAGAGAUUGUAGAUAAAGAAAUAAAAAUGACAAGCGUAAUGGAGGCUCUGCAAAAGAGACUGUCAGAGAAUCAGUUCAUGGAUGGCAAUUUCACCAGUCUGAAUCUGAAUAAUUCAUAGAUUGAAAUUACCCUGCUUUCACCUUUCCAUUUAAACCGGCAUGAUCUGAAUCUCUAAUAAAUUUUCAAGAUAAAGUAAAAUGCCAAUUUGAAUCUGAAGAGCUUUUAAAAACAGAUGCUACACCCUGAAUCUUUCGAUACCUUUCACAAUUAUCCUGUGAGAACCGCACUUCAUCACGAAGCACCAUUACCAGUGAAAAUUACUGUGAUUACAAUAGCAACAAUAGAAUACCAUCAAAUGAUCUCUAAUCUACCUAAUUUACCAAGGCUGACUGUGUGCCCAUUGUGUUUCACCACGUCUGGCAUUGGAUCAAUAUCACAGUGGAACAAAAAUGCCUUAGUGUGCGCUUCCUUUUGGUACCUUUAACUUUGACAGCACAGGAAAAAAAUCUACCUGCUGUUAAAUGUUUUUACAGCCAAUCUACACGCCUGCUGUACGAUCUGAUUGAUUCUCUAUGAUUUUCUCUAGUUCUUGGGUAUCAGAUGUCUUUGUGUUACUAAUUAGUUUAAAAUGUAUACUCAUGCACAAAGACUGCAGCGAGUGCCAGCACAGGGACCCUGCACUGCUGCUGCAGUUGUAGCACUCUCACUGGGGAAGCCAAAAAGAGUUCGGUGCCUUAUGUGAAUAAUUACUCCUGUCUGAGUUAGAAAUGCUUUGUGGCAUCACCGGUCUUGGUUGUACGACAUGAAAAAUGUAUGCAAAAGCCAUGGUCAAGGGAAAUGAUUGCGUGUAAUACUAACAAGAUUUUCUCCCCAUUCAGCAAUUAGCAUGUGGUUGUGAGAGACAGGCUGUGGCUCCUUCUGUGUGUGUGUGUGUGUGUGUGUGUGUGUGUAGGUAUGCAUGCACAUACGUAAAUGUAAAGCUACUGUGCUCUGUGAAUGAAUACGUGCUGAUCUCUGAAAGUAACAACUUUCUCUGACAAGCCAGGCGCUGUUUUGCCGCAUUCUGCUCAGUUGUAACAAAUCCCUCUUUUGAAGGUGUAAAUUUCCUAUAGGAUGAUGCAUGACUUCUGGAACAGUGCUGUGGACUGUGCUGCUGGAGAAUUGCUUUCAAAGGCCUAAAGAAGACACUGAAGGAGAUCCAAAGGUGCAUUGUAGUCCAAUGACAUCAGGAGCUAAAGGCACAAAACACCUCAAAAGUCUGGGCUCUCACUCACAUGCCUUUGGUCCUCAUCUCUUGAAGCAGACUAAACAAGGAUCAACUUGGUGACUAAGAUCCAGUCCCUAGCAAAUGAGGAGAAACACUGGUAUUUCUAAGAGACACAAAGUGGUCACCUAAAACUUUAGGCCUAGACAGAUAAACUUCCCACACUGACAAUAUCUGAAUCAACAUGUGCAUAGGGAAUGCUCUCUGUCCAGAUCCUUUUUUGACUGCAAGUUUUAAUUUCUGUUGGAACAUAAAGGGUGUUCUCAUCAUGUUUAAGAACAUUUAAGAAUGUCUUUCUCAGUUUACAGGUAACCUGAAGCCAGGGUGGUUACAGGCAUAUUGGAUCCCACACCUUGGCAGAGGAUUAUUUCUGCAUAUGUUUCAGGACAGCUCAGCACUAAAGAC